rnacentral:rRNA from 1 species
CAGCAGCCGCGGUAAUACGGAGGGAGCUAGCGUUGUUCGGAAUUACUGGGCGUAAAGCGCGCGUAGGCGGUUACUCAAGUCGGAGGUGAAAGCCCGGGGCUCAACCCCGGAACUGCCUUUGAAACUAGGUGACUAGAAUCUUGGGGAGGUCAGUGGAAUUCCGAGUGUAGAGGUGAAAUUCGUAGAUAUUCGGAAGAACACCAGUGGCGAAGGCGACUGACUGGACAAGUAUUGACGCUGAGGUGCGAAAGCGUGGGGAGCAAACAGGAUUAGAUACCCCUGUAGUCCCUGUCUCUUAUAC